rnacentral:rRNA from 1 species
CAAUAGCGUAUAUUAAAGUUGUUGCGGUUAAAAAGCUCGUAGUUGGAGUUCUGCCAGGUGCCGCCUGUCCGCCCCAGUGGUGAGUACGUGGCGCGCAUUUGGCCCUUUCAAGGGGAGCGUAUCUGCACUUUAUUGUCUGGUGCGGGAUCCUUGACUUUUACUUUGAGGAAAUAGGAGUGUUCCAAGCAGGCUCUCGUCGUGCACAGCUCAGCAUGGAAUAAUAGCAUUGGACCUCGAUUCUAAGCUGUUGGUUGCCAGAAGCGAGGUAAUGAUGAAGAGGGAUAGUUGGGGGCAUUCGUAUUUAACUGUCAGAGGCGAAAUUCUUGGAUUUGUUAAAGACGGACUACUGCGAAAGCAUCUGCCAUGGAUGUUUUCAUUGA